UCGGGUUGUAAACCUCUUUCAGCAGGGACGAAGCGCAAGUGACGGUACCUGCAGAAGAAGCACCGGCCAACUACGUGCCAGCAGCCGCGGUAAUACGUAGGGUGCGAGCGUUGUCCGGAAUUAUUGGGCGUAAAGGGCUCGUAGGCGGUUUGUCGCGUCGGGAGUGAAAACCAGGUGCUUAACACCUGGCUUGCUUUCGAUACGGGCAGACUAGAGGUAUUCAGGGGAGAACGGAAUUCCUGGUGUAGCGGUGAAAUGCGCAGAUAUCAGGAGGAACACCGGUGGCGAAGGCGGUUCUCUGGGAAUGACCUGACGCUGAGGAGCGAAAGUGUGGGGAGCGAACAGGAUUAGAUACCCUGGUAGUCCACACCGUAAACGUUGGGCGCUAGGUGUGGGGUCCAUUCCACGGAUUCCGUGCCGCAGCUAACGCAUUAAGCGCCCCGCCUGGGGAGUACGGCCGCAAGGCUAAAACUCAAAGGAAUUGACGGGGGCCCGCACAAGCGGCGGAGCAUGCGGAUUAAUUCGAUGCAACGCGAAGAACCUUACCUGGGUUUGACAUACACCCUGCCGCUCCAGAGAUGGGGCUUCUUUUGGGGGUGUACAGGUGGUGCAUGGCUGUCGUCAGCUCGUGUCGUGAGAUGUUGGGUUAAGUCCCGCAACGAGCGCAACCCUCGUUCUAUGUUGCCAGCACGUAAUGGUGGGGACUCAUAGGAGACUGCCGGGGUCAACUCGGAGGAAGGUGGGGAUGACGUCAAGUCAUCAUGCCCCUUAUGUCCAGGGCUUCACGCAUGCUACAAUGGCCGGUACAAAGGGCUGCGAUCCCGUGAGGGGGAGCGAAUCCCAAAAAGCCGGUCUCAGUUCGGAUUGGGGUCUGCAACUCGACCCCAUGAAGUCGGAGUCGCUAGUAAUCGCAGAUCAGCAACGCUGCGGUGAAUACGUUCCCGGGCCUUGUACACACCGCCCGUCACGUCACGAAAGUCGGCAACACCCGAAGCCGGUGGCCCAACCCUUGNGGAGG
rnacentral:rRNA from 1 species